UCCCUUCUCCCUCUCCGCUUCUUCCUCCCCUUAAUAGGCCACGGUCACUCGAGCAGACCGGCCAUGAGUACAAGGGCAGCGUAAUCAUUGCCAUUGACCAUCGUCGCAUCUCGAGAUGAUGACGGCGGGGAGUAGGAAGAGGAGUUGGGAUCCUCGCCAAUUCGUGCCGAGGGAACCAAGAUACGAAGUGCCAUCGACUUGGGAAGGAAGCCACAAACCCUGACGCCGCGAUCCGUGUGCCCGUCUCCCGCGAGCUUACUUCGGAUCAGCGCCUACCCACAUAAUGGUGACAACUUGACCGGACCGGCGAAUGGGGGGAACGAGUGCAUCGUGUAUUCAAAACAAAAAA
rnacentral:lncRNA from 1 species